CACUACAAAAAAUGUUGUUAAAAAUGGCACUAAUUUUAUGGCAGGGUUAAAAAACUGCCAUUAUAUUUGUUAAUUUCGACAGCGCUAACUUAUGCCAUAAUACUCAUGGUUUUUGUGGCGGCUUUUGUUGAUUGUGGUGGUUUGGAACCGCCAUAAAAUUUUUUUCUUUUCCAACUUGGCUGAUGUUGCAUAUGAGAGUGUGAUUAGUAUUGUUGCGAGAAAGUGAGGAUGUCAAUGACGAACCCUAAUUUCAUUCCAUUGUUCAUCUUUCAAUGAUUUGUCAUUCAACUCCUCGCUACUGCAAGCAAUGCCGUUGUCGCUGCCUUUAGUGAGCUUCUACGAUUUGGCUUCGAUCUGAAGAUUUGUCAGCAUUUGUCCAUCACUAUCGUUCAUCUCCUCGCCAUCGCAAGAAACACCGUUGUCACUGCCUUCAACGAGCUUCUAGGAUCUAGUUCUCAAUCUAGCUCAUCUACUCGCCGCCGCAAGCAAUUCCAUUGUUGUUGCCUUCAGCGAGCUUCAACGAUUUGGCUUCGAUAUGAAUAUUUGUCUCCGCUCAUCUCACCACCAUCAUUCAUCUCUGCACCAUCGCAAGCAACACCGUUGUCGAUGCCUUUUAUGAUCUGAUUUUCAAUCUAGCUCAUCUCCUCACCUCAGCAAGCAAUGCCAUUGUUGCUACCUUCAACAAGCUUUUACAAUUUAGUUUCGCCAUCUCUGUCACUUCUAAUAGUACAACACAAUACUUUACUUUCUCUUCAAAAGAAGUCAUGCGGUUGUGGAGGAACUGAUUGGGUUUGGAGCAAGAGUGCACGUGUGUGCAAGGAACGAAGUUGAGCUCACUAAGUCUCAUCUAAUGAAAUAAUUCUAGUUUUGAGGUUAUUGGCUCUAUUUGCGGUGUCUCUGUUCCUCAUCAGAGAGAGAAGCCAAUGGACUCUCUGUGUUCUCAAUUCCAAGGGAAACUCAACAUCCUUUCCUGGUCACAUAUCAUGAUUAAUAAUGUGAACGGCCUGAACUUUUCGUCUAUUUGGUGGGGAUAUAUCGGAGAAAAGGAAUAAAGAAAGGGGCAAAAUUGUCAUUACAUAACAGCCUUACAUGGCUCAUUCCGUUGCUGUGUUGGUUCUCCCAAGUCUUACAUUUACAGACACUUAAGUGAGUUGCGUCUCAGCUAGUUCGAGUCCCUUCCAAGUUCUGAACCGUUUUCGAGUAACAACACUUCCUCCAUUUUCCUUGUAUUGUAAAUCAGAAGAAGUAUCUGGGGUCUUAUUAUUAUACCUUUGAGGAAAAUCAAGAAUGAGUUUAUGACUCACUGGGAUGGACUAAUGACAAAACCAGGGGAGCGUAUCCUUGUUCUUGCUGCAACCAAUAGGCCCUUUGACUUGGAUGAAGCAAUUAUUAGGAGAUUUGAAAGAAGAAGGCAACACUGCUUGUUACAUUACAUGCCAUUGUUAUGGUGUAUAACUCUUGAUCAUUUUGUGGAGAAUAGGGGAAAAAUUUUGAAAACACUUCUGGCAAAAGAGAAGGUAGACCAAGAUCUUGAUUUGAAGGAACUUGCAACUAUGAUGGAAGGAUACAGUGGCAGUGACUUGAAGGUAGUUUCUAUGUUGUAUUAGUUUAUGAUUAUGGUGUAUCUUUAUCAUGUUACUUUGCUUUAGUCUUUUAAGGUUCUGAUGCCUAACACAUUUUUACCUUCACUCGCUAUUUAUUAAAUUAAAUCAAAACUUGUGCAUAACUGCUGCUUAUAGGCUUAUUAGAGAGUUGACUCAACAAGAGAGACUAAAGACCUUGGUUUUUAAAUGGAAAUCUCUUGGAGCAAUCCAGUAGGUUUUGAAAUUCCUUUCCCUUUUCAUUAUUUGAUUAAUCGAUGCUACCUUUGUGCUUUAGCUUUUGGUAAUGAAUUUAUAUUUAUCCAAGUUUCUUUCCUACACUAUCUAAUGUAUUAAGCAAAAUAUAUCUUGUUCAGAACUAUGACAGUAGCUUAUUAACUUGGAUCGAUUGGAAAUGUUUAAGCAAAUGCUUAACAGUAGCUAAUGUAUAUCUUGUUCAGAACUAUGACAUUAUCCAAAAUAUAUACGACAAUUUUAUGGUGUAAAUCCUGUAUGUAUCAUCACUAAGUUGCUUUUUCAUUUUUCUUUCUUAAUUAUCUUUUCCCAUAGCCAUCCAUUGAUAUCAAGACAGUACUAUCUCAAUUAAUGGAAAGGCUUUCACAUUAUGCUGCAUCAAGUGCAGAGGUGUUGCCAGAAUUUUCGCAAGUGGAAGCAUUUGCCAAAUUAAGCAAUGCCAUUGGCAGGCCAUUUGAAUAAGAACCAGCUUUCAGGUGCCCCCAAACUUUUCAGCUCUGACAUGGUGCUCAUACAUGUAUUAUUUGAUGGAAAUGAUUUAUCUGGUUCUAUACCAGAAAUAUUAGGACUAGUUUAGACACCUGAGGUUCUCCGGCUUGAUAGAAAUUUUCUGAUAGGAGAGGUUCCUACAAAUCUUUGUAAGAGAUGAGUUUGGAUAAUGAAGUUGGAGUGUUGGAGCAA